GCAAGUCGAGGGGUAACAGAGAGAAGCUUGCUUCUUUGCUGACGACCGGCGCACGGGUGCGUAACGCGUAUACAAUCUACCUUUUGCUGAGGGAUAGCCAAGAGAAAUUUGGAUUAAUACCUCAUAGUAUCUAUGAAUCGCAUGGUUUAUCUAUUAAAGGUUACGGCAGAAGAUGAGUAUGCGUUCUAUUAGCUAGUUGGUGUGGUAACGGCACACCAAGGCAACGAUAGAUAGGGGGCCUGAGAGGGGGAUC
rnacentral:rRNA from 1 species